UUGUAUGACUCUCGGCAAUGGAUAUCUUGGCUCUUGCAUCGAUGAAGAGCGCAGCGAAAUGCGAUACGUGGUGUGAAUUGCAGAAUCCCGUGAACCAUCAAAUCUUUGAACGCAAGUUGCGCCCGAGGCCAAUUGGCUAAGGGCACGUCCGCCU
rnacentral:rRNA from 2 species